UACGGUAGGGUGCGAGCGUUAAUCGGAAUUACUGGGCGUAAAGCGUGCGCAGGCGGUUAUUUAAGUCAGGUGUGAAAGCCCUGGGCUUAACCUAGGAAUUGCGCUUGAGACUGGAUGAGCUUGGAGUGCGGCAGAGGGAGGUGGAAUUCCACGUGUAGCAGUGAAAUGCGUAGAGAUGUGGAGGAACACCGAUGGCGAAGGCAGCCUCCUGGGCCAAGCACGUGACGCUCAUGCACGAAAGCGUGGGGAGCAAACAGG
rnacentral:rRNA from 1 species